CGAACGCUGGCGGCGUGCCUAACACAUGCAAGUCGCACGAGAAAGCGGGCUUCGGUCCGUGAGUACAGUGGCAGACGGGUGAGUAACACGUGGGUAACUUGACCGGAGGUGGGGGAUAACUCUCCGAAAGGAGGGCUAAUACCGCAUGAUAUCCCGAGUACUUCGGUACAUGGGAUCAAAGCUUGCCUCUACCUGUAAGCUAGCGCCACCGGAGAGACCCGCGCCCCAUUAGUUUGAUGGUGAGGUAAUGGCUCACCAUGACUACGAUGGGUAGCCGGCCUGAGAGGGCGAUCGGCCACACUGGAACUGAGACACGGUCCAGACUCCUACGGGAGGCAGCAGUGAGGAAUUUUGCGCAAUGGGCGAAAGCCUGACGCAGCGACGCCGCGUGGAGGACGAAGGCCUUCGGGUCGUAAACUCCUGUCAAGAGGGACGAAGGUUGCGGGGAUGAAUAAGCCUCGUAAUUGACGGUACCUUUGAAGGAAGCCCCGGCUAACUCC
rnacentral:rRNA from 1 species